rnacentral:rRNA from 1 species
GAUGAACGCUGGCGGUGUGCCUAAUACAUGCAAGUCGAGCGAACAGACGAGGAGCUUACUCCUCUGACGUUAGCGGCGGACGGGUGAGUAACACGUGGAUAACCUACCUAUAAGACUGGGAUAACUUCGGGAAACCGGAGCUAAUACCGGAUAACAUGUUGAACCGCAUGGUUCAACAGUGAAAGACGGUCUUGCUGUCACUUAUAGAUGGAUCCGCGUCGCAUUAGCUAGUUGGUAAGGUAACGGCUUACCAAGGCAACGAUGCGUAGCCGACCUGAGAGGGUGAUCGGCCACACUGGAACUGAGACACGGUCCAGACUCCUACGGGAGGCAGCAGUAGGGAAUCUUCCGCAAUGGGCGAAAGCCUGACGGAGCAACGCCGCGUGAGUGAAGAAGGUCUUCGGAUCGUAAAACUCUGUUAUUAGGGAAGAACAAAUGUGUAAGUAACUAUGCACGUCUUGACGGUACCUAAUCAGAAAGCAACGGCUAACUACGUG